GACGAACGCUGGCGGCGUGCUUAACACAUGCAAGUCGAACGGAAAGGCCCUGCUUGCAGGGUACUCGAGUGGCGAACGGGUGAGUAACACGUGGGUGAUCUGCCCUCUACUUCGGGAUAAGCCUGGGAAACUGGGUCUAAUACCGGAUAGGAGCCAUUAUUUGUGUGAUGGUUGGAAAGUUUUUUCGGUGUAGGGUGAGCUCGCGGCCUAUCAGCUUGUUGGUGGGGUAAUGGCCUACCAAGGCGGCGACGGGUAGCCGGCCUGAGAGGGUGGACGGCCACAUUGGGACUGAGAUACGGCCCAGACGCCGACGGGAGGAAGCAGGGGGGAAUAUUGCACAAGGGGCGCAAGCCUGAUGCAGCGACGCCGCGUGGGGGAUGACGCCCUUGGGGUUGUAAACUCCUUUCGCUAGGGACGAAGCUUGUUGUGACGGUACCUAGAGAAGAAGCACCGGCUAACUACGUG
rnacentral:rRNA from 1 species